CCUGUCUCCCUCCGCCGAGAAAAGCCGGAGCCACCUAAGUCUUGCCCAGGCUGGUACCUUGUAGCAGAUGCCUGCUUUAGCCGAGUAAGCCAAGAAAGAUGAUUUGAAUGAGGACUGAGGGAGGAAUGAGUGCAGGGAGGCCACAACACUGUUAUGUUUUUAGGUGCAAGGAACAGAACCGACGCUGCUGGACUUAAGGAGCAAAGGAAUUUAUCAGAAGGAUAUUGGAUGGCUUGCAGGAACCUGAGAGGCCCAGGGCCAGGCACUGAGGCUCUGCAGCCAGGAACAAUUGCCCACAAGAAAGCCUUAGAAACACUUCUGUGCUGGACCCCACAAGUUCCACCACUGACAACACGGGAUCAAUAAUGCGGCUACGGUCACUGCCAUCAUCUGCUCUGUACCGCACCUGCUUCUUCCAAACCCCUGAUUUCUCAUCAAUCAGGAUUAGGGAAGAUGUCCCUGACUGGCAUGUGCCUUCAGUUGUGCUCAAGGAGCUGGAAAAGCAAGAUCUGCUCGCCUUAGGAGUAUCUUCUCUAUGCUGCACUGCCUUUUCCUAAACUGAGCCAGGCCCCGGUUUCUGGGUGUGAUAAAGAUGCUGAAGUGCAAAAUCCACCUUCAAGAUGAAAGCCAGCUGCCUGAUCCUGGUUUUGAGUGCCAAAAAUUCGAAAUUACCCAGUCUUUCUCUCGACUUUCCUCCCAUAACAGAUGUACAUCUUCUCCAAUCAGACAGACGCCUGGAGCCAGCUAAAGUACAGGUUGU